AUGAUGGGCACUGCCGUGGACCUAGGACGGAGGCAGGGCGGCAGCCGCUUCUACGACGCUGGCAGGGCUCGACGAGGGCACCAUCAUGGCCUUCCCAAGUCGAGGUGCGCGGCCGCCGCCGUUACCCAGGAGAAGGCGCCGGAGGAGUCCUCCCGGUUGCCAGCGUCCCCCGUAGGAGUUGCAGGCAACCUCAAGAGGUUCGUGGCAGCAGUUACGCUGUCCGUGCCGGCGGAGUACCCCUCCGAGAGAGGAGAGUGGAGGGGUUGCGGCGUGGAUGCCAACCGGGAGAGGCCCUACUUCGUUCUUGACGACCUAUGGGAGGCGUACAAGGAGUGGAGUGCGUAUGGUGCCGGGGUGCCGCUCGUUCUUGACGGGUGCGACGGGGUCGUGCAGUACUAUGUGCCUUACUUGUCCGCCAUCGAGCUCUAUGGAGACUCAUCAGUCCUGCAGUCAUCUUCCAACCCAAGACAUAUGAUGGACGACAGUGAUGAAGAUUUCCAUGAUUCCAGCAGUGAUGGUAGCAGUGAUUAUGAACAUGUAAGGGUCAAACACUUUGCUCAGGAAGGCUUCUCAAGGGAUGUUGGUGAAUCUGGAGUUACUCAUGGCCGCUUGCUCUUUCAGUACCUCGAGUUUGAUUCUCCAUUUUGCCGUGAACCUUUGACUGAUAAGAUUUCUAGCCUUUCAGCCAGAUUUCCAGGAUUGAGGACCCUUAGGAGUUGUGAUUUAUCAGCACGGAGUUGGAUGAGCAUCGCUUGGUACCCAAUUUAUCGUAUCCCUACUGGACCAACAUUAAAAGAUUUAGAUGCCUGCUUUCUCACUUUCCAUCAGCUUUCAAAUUGCCCGCAAGGAGAUAAUCUGUGGGCUCCUGAUAGCACACCAAACAUACCACUCCCAGUUUUUGGUUUGGCUUCCUACAAGUUUAGCAACUCAGUCUGGUCCUCAACUGAUGGUGAUUGGAAACUGGCUAGCUGCUUAAGGCAAGCUGCUGCCGAUUGGCUGAGAGACAGCCGUGCCGGCCAUCCAGAUUAUCAGUUCUUUGUCUCCCAUGGUGCAUACAACAGCAUACAUCCAACCGAUGCCCCCUCAACACUGACCUGCUGGAAAAAGAGGUCGCGGCUGUUUCCCCUUCUCAUCUCUUCCACCGCCCCCUUUUGA
rnacentral:rRNA from 1 species